GUGCUCGCUUCGGCAGCACAUAUACUAAAACUGGACGAUACUGAGAAGAUUAGCACCGCCCCCGUGCAAGGAUGACGCGCAAAUUCAUGAAGCAUUCCAUAUUUUU
ensembl:snRNA U6 U6 spliceosomal RNA